GGGUGGCGAGUGGCGGACGGGUGAGGAAUACAUCGGAAUCUACUUUUUCGUGGGGGAUAACGUAGGGAAACUUACGCUAAUACCGCAUACGACCUUCGGGUGAAAGCAGGGGACCUUCGGGCCUUGCGCGAUUAAAUGAGCCGAUGUCGGAUUAGCUAGUUGGCGGGGUAAAGGCCCACCAAGGCGACGAUCCGUAGCUGGUCUGAAAGGAUGAUCAGCCACACUGGAACUGAGACACGGUCCAGACUCCUACGGGAGGCAGCAGUGGGGAAUAUUGGACAAUGGGCGCAAGCCUGAUCCAGCCAUGCCGCGUGGGUGAAGAAGGCCUUCGGGUUGUAAAGCCCUUUUGUUGGGAAAGAAAAGCAGUCGGCUAAACCCGAUUGUUCUGACGGUGCCCAAAGAAUAAGCACCGGCUAACUUCGUGCCAGCAGCCGCGGUAAUACUAAGGGUGCAAGCGUUACUCGGAAUUACUGGGCGUAAAGCGUGCGUACGUGGUGAUUUAAGUCCGUUGUGAAGCCCUGGGCUCACCUGGGAAUUGCAGUGGAUACUGGGUCACUAGAGUGUGGUAGAGGGUAACGGAAUUCCCUGUGUAGCAGUGAAAUGCGUAGAGAUCGGGAGGAAAUCUGUGGCGAAGGCGGCUACCUGGACUACACUGACCUGAGCACGAAACGUGGGGAGCAACAGGAUUAGAACCCUGGUAUCCACGCCCUAACGAUGCGACUGGACUUGGGUGAAUUGGCACGCAUAUCGAGCUAACCGUUAAUUCGCGCCCGGGAGACGGUCCCAGACUGAACUCAAUGAUUGACGGGGCCGGACAACCGUGGAGUUGUGUUUAUUCAUUCACCCGAAAACCUACCUGGCUUGAAUCCC
rnacentral:rRNA from 1 species